CUAGACUAGGAAGUUCUGUAUUCCUAGGAAUAUAUAAAAUCAGAAGUUGUUACACUUAUAGGGAAUAUCUACAAUCUAUAAUAUAUACCAACUGAGUUACGUUCACGAGGUCACACAUAUUUAUCUUUAAUAAAUAUAAAAGGCUAAAUUGCUAUUUUGGUCGCUUAACUAUUUUUGAGGUACCACUUUGGUCAUAUAACAUGUUUUUUGUCAGUUUAGGUCCUUUAAAUAUGCAUCUGUUACACAGUUUGGGCCCUUCCGUCAAGAGGCUAACCUCAAAUGUCUUUGGUGGACCAACAUUAUAGGUGGUCCACCAAAGACGUCAUUAAUUUUUAUAAUUGUAAUCGUUGGAUCUUUUUGUCACAAAGAAAACCAUUAGAUUCUAUAUGUCUAUUGUAUCUAGCAGUAUGCCAUCUAGAACUAAUUCUUUUUCGAUUUCUUCAUCUUCUUCUCUCCUCACCUUCAUCAUCUAUACCAAAUCUUCACAAACAUUUACAAAAAAUUCUUAGAAAAAAAUCAUAAACCCAGAAAACUCAAGUAAAUGAACAUAUUACUUUAUUCCUUCUCAUUUAUCUUCUUAUCUGCAUCUUCUACACAAUUAACCUCACAACAAUAUUAUGUAAAAUCCCAAUUAACCUCACAACAAUUGGUCCAAAAAUUUUAUGUUCAAAAAUAAGAACAGCAACAACAACUUCCUUCAAGUGCAUAAGGGCACCAAAAUCUUUCAAAACUCAUCCUUCAAAAAGAACACAUCGUUCAAAAAUUUGAUCUUUCACAUAAACUUUAACAUAAGAGCAUCAAAAUCAUAAGUAAAUUAAACAGCAACAACACCUUAACAUAAUGAGCGGUUGAACAAUUUGAGUUUUGAGAGAAGAGAUUGAGAACGUAAAUACAAGAGGAUUUCAGUUUGAGAUUCAUCGUAGGGUGAUACAAACAAGGAGGAUUUGGAUUUGGGAAAUAGCUUGGAAGGUUUUGGUUGAUUUUCCCAUUGUUAGUGGAUCUGAAAAAAGAAAUUAGGAAAUAGAUAUGAAGAUUUUGGUUGAU
rnacentral:lncRNA from 1 species